rnacentral:rRNA from 1 species
AACCAACGCUGGCGGCGUGCCUAAUACAUGCAAGUCGAACGGGGUAGCAAUACCUAGUGGCGCACGGGUGAGUAACGCGUGGAUAAUCUGCCUUAGAGUGGGGGAUAACUAGUCGAAAGAUUAGCUAAUACCGCAUAAGACCACAAGAGCUGCGGCUCAAGGGGUCAAAGGUUUUUCGCUCUAAGAUGAGUCCGCGUAAGAUUAGCUAGUUGGUGAGGUAAUGGCUCACCAAGGCGACGAUCUUUAACUGGUCUGAGAGGAUGAUCAGUCACACUGGAACUGAGACACGGUCCAGACUCCUACGGGAGGCAGCAGUAGGGAAUAUUGCACAAUGGAGGAAACUCUGAUGCAGCGACGCCGCGUGAGUGAUGAAGGCCUUCGGGUCGUAAAGCUCUGUCGCAGGGGAAUAACACAAUGAAUGUACCCUGUAAGAAAGGAUCGGCUAACUUCGUG